rnacentral:rRNA from 1 species
GUCAUACAAUGUUCAUGUUGCCUUAAAACGCAAUCAAAUACAACUUUCAACAACGGAUCUCUUGGCUCUCGCAUCGAUGAAGAACGCAGCGAAAUGCGAUAAGUAAUGUGAAUUGCAGAUUUUCAGUGAAUCAUCGAAUCUUUGAACGCACCUUGCGCUCCUUGGUAUUCCGAGGAGCAUGCCUGUUUGAGUGUCAUUAAAUUCUCAACCCCACCGAUUUGCUUCGGGGGGAUUGGACUUGGAGCGUGCUGGCGAAGGUCGGCUCCUCUUUAAAUGCAUCAGUGGAGAGAAACUUGCCCCAGUGUGAUAAUCCUGUUGCGCUGUGGUGGGUGAAAGUCUGCUUCCAACCGUCCCUCCGGGGACAUAUGUCAUCUUAUUUUGACCUCAAAUCAGGUAGGACUACCCGCUGAACUUAAGCAUAUCAAUA